CAAACGGGGAAAAGAGAAAGUAGUGGAGUAAAUUGCAAAAUCACGAUAUUUUGCACCGAGGUAAGUAAACAUGUGAAAUAAUGUAUUAUUUUGAUAUUAUUUGAUAUGUGUUGAGAUUUAUUUGAACAUAAAAUAAAUAUUUGGCAAAGAUCCUAAAAAUGUGAUUAAAUUGGGAGAAGUGGUAAAGUGUUGAAAAACACAGUUUUUGGUUGAACACUCGGAAUAAGCCGGAUUAUAUUGAAUAACAAGGGGUUGCUAAGUGCUGAU
rnacentral:lncRNA from 1 species